rnacentral:rRNA from 1 species
GUGAGGAAUAUUGGUCAAUGGGCGAGAGCCUGAACCAGCCAAGUCGCGUGAGGGAAGAAUGGUCUAUGGCCUGUAAACCUCUUUUGUCAAGGAAGAAUAAGCGGCACGAGUGCCACCUUGCCAGUACUUGACGAAUAAGCAUCGGCUAACUCCGUGCCAGCAGCCGCGGUAAUACGGGGGAUGCGAGCGUUAUCCGGAUUUAUUGGGUUUAAAGGGCGCGUAGGCGGGACGGCAAGUCAGCGGUAAAAGACUGCAGCUAAACUGUAGCACGCCGUUGAAACUGUCGACCUGGAGACGAGACGAGGGAGGCGGAACAAGUGAAGUAGCGGUGAAAUGCAUAGAUAUCACUUGGAACCCCGAUAGCGAAGGCAGCUUCCCAGGCUCGGUCUGACGCUGAUGCGCGAGAGCGUGGGUAGCGAACAGGAUUAGAAACCCUUGUAGUCC